CUGGAAGUACAGCUCAGUGGUAGAGCACUUGCCUUGCAUGUGUGAGGCCCUGGGUUCAAUCCCCAACAUUUAUA
rnacentral:tRNA from 1 species